GGGAGGUAAACAAACAAUGUUAUAGUCAGCUGACUCUAUCUUAUCUUUGAAAUAAUGGUGUGCACUGCCCACCAGGUCACCAAUUACACAAAUGUGCAGCACCUGGGUGUCUGUAUUUGAGUAUCUAUUUAAUUUCAAGUAAAGAUUGCCCAGGUGUCGCGCAUCCCAGCUACUGUAGCCAAGAAUGAAUUUUACGGAGAUUCUAAGAACAAAUGGGAGCCAGUUGACAUGGUCACCAGAUGGUCGUUUUUGUGCUGUGCCCGUGAUAGGAAGACUAGAAAUCAGAGACUCUUCAACACUACAAAUUUUAGUUACCUACAACUGUACUGAUUUUGUCCAGGUAGUAGAAUGGGCUCCUGAUUCCUGUUAUGUGCUCACUGGAAAUUACAAGCGUUGUGUAGCUGAAAUAUGGUCAGUUGAAGACCCUGAUUGGAGAUGCAAAAUUGACGAAGGAUCAGCUGGUCUUUUAAAAAUAUGUUGGGCUCCAGACAGUCGGCAUGUCUUGACUACAGCUGAGUUCUAUGUAAGAAAAUCAUAAAAGUAUUUGAAUUAUGAUGACAAA